rfam:Luteimonas sp. JM171 genome.
CGUCCUCUGCUGUGUCCGACAGCACGCGAAAUAUUUGCCUUGUCCCUAAUGACGACCUAAGGGGCGGCAGCGGAAUCCGGGAGUGCAAGCCCGCCUCGCAGCGGAAAGCCCGAUGGAGACCGCAACCACCCCACCUGAACCCUGGGUUCAAGGUCGUUUCGCGGGCAUCGGCUCGAGUGGAGGACGU